GGCGAUCAGAUACCGCCCUAGUUCUGACCCGUAAACGAUGCCAACUAAGCGAUCCGCCAGUCGACUCAUCGCUUCUGGUGGGGAGCUUCCCGGAAACGAAAGUCUUCCGGUUCCGGGGGAAGUAUGGUUGCAAAGCUGAAACUUAAAGGAAUUGACGGAAGGGCACCACCAGGAGUGGAGCCUGCGGCUUAAUUUGACUCAACACGGGGAAACUCACCCGGCCCGGACACCGUAAGGAUUGACAGAUUGAUAGCUUUUUCAUGAUUCGGUGGAUGGUGGUGCAUGGCCGUUCUUAGUUCGUGGAGCGAUUUGUCUGGUUUAUUCCGAUAACGAGCGAGACUCUGGCCUACUAAAUAGUUGACGCAUUGCCACUGUGCGCACAACUUCUUAGAGGGAUUUUCGGUGUUUUCAACCGCACGAAAUUGAGCAAUAACAGGUCUGUGAUGCCCUUAGAUGUCCGGGGCUGCACGCGCGCUACACUGGCAAACGCAACGUGCCUGUCCUGCCCCGAAAGGAGCGGGUAAACCCCUGAAAUUUUGCCGUGAUUGGGAUCGGACAUUGCAACUAUUGUCCGUGAACGAGGAAUUCCUUGUAGGGGCGAGUCAUCAACUCGUCCCGAAUACGUCCCUGCCCUUUGUAA
rnacentral:rRNA from 1 species